UUGAAAGGGAAACGAUUGAAGUCAGUCAUACCAACGGGAAAUCAACCUCUUGAGCUCGGUCUCGUGGGUUUUGAAGAGUUUCAAAGCCUUCGGAUUCGCGAGAUUGGGAUCUCUUGGUGUACUUUUUCGUACGGUUAGUCAACAUCGGUUUUGUAUGUCAUAAAAUGACUGGAGGAAUGUAGCUUCGAUCUCGUAUUGAAGUGUUAUAGCCUUUGGUAGAUGUGAUGUUUGAGACCGAGGAUUGCAACGGAUACCCUUCAGGGCUAUUCGUCUGAUCUCUGAUACGUUGCCUUGAUGUUGAAAGCUCGCUUAUGAUGUUAAAGUAUUACGGUCAAAAGGUUAGAACGAAUUACAUUCGUUAAGGAUGUUGACGUA
rnacentral:rRNA from 1 species